ensembl:lncRNA
UGUGCGCGUGUGCGUGUGUGCGUAAGUGCGUGCGCCUGCGUGCUGGGGAAGUCACGCCGCGCGUUCUCCCGCUGGAGAGGACGUCGGUGAGGAGGACCCGGGUGGGGUACCUCAGUGAGGAGGAGAUUUAAAUCUUGCAAUCACCGCUGGGAAGCGAGCUGUAUCAUCUUGAGAAAUCAGACCACAGAGCUGGGCCUGCAGCUGGCAGGCUGGGUCAUCUUUAAUCGCUUAACCCUUCAUAUCAAAGGAUGGGUCGUAGCAGCAGAUUCCUCCUCAAGAAUUUGCCAUGGCAGAUUUUCUCAAGGAAGAUCUGGGAGUUAAAAUGAAGCAGAGUGUGUACAGCAAAAACCUUGCCUUUAACAUAUUUGAAGAGCUAACCAGUCACUGGCUGGGAACAUUGGGAUGAGGAAGACCUAGUGUGAAUAUGAUCCAAAGCUGCCCAUGGAGUGAAUGAGAGAACAGAGGCCUGGAGGGACUGAUUUACCUCAUGGAAAGUUCCAGAAGGAGAUUCAGGUGCUCACCCCCUCUUCUCACUCUGGGAUCCCAGGUAAUGAAGAAGAAAAUGUGUGAAAGGUAGGUGAAUGAAUGAAUGAAAGAAUGAAUGAAUGAAUGAAUACUGUAUAAUCUCCCUCACUGUAGUUCAGAUCCUUUAUCUCAUGUGGCCAGGUUGCAUACUGGUGGGAUUGGGUGCACAGAGGAAGCUAUGAUGGAAUUUCAUGGUGUGGACGGGACUGGCUGGUGCUAGAGUCUGGCUGGGUGAAAGAAUAGCCCUGGAUGGGCAAACCUAAGGGCAAGGGUAGGCAGAAGCCCAGUUUUGCAGGGGCCUUGUGGUGAAGGCUGAGAAACUUGGCAAAUGAUCAGCUUUAAGGAAGGCGUAGGAAGGGCACAGAGGAGUUCAGAUGUCAUCAACCAAGAACCUGGCCAGUAGGUGGCAUCCCAGGAGCAUUGGCAGGCCCCGGAAUCCUGCCCUUCUACCCACAAAGAUGCUAUAAUUUAAGUCUAGGAAGCUACUGAAAAGGAGAGAGGUGCAGCUCUAGCCCUGGAGGGGAUAGAGAACAGGGCAUAUUUUUAGGUGCCAAGAAAAGGACAGAAAUGAGUUUAUUAUAAUUGAGGUGAGUAUUAUUUGGUCACAAGAAUAAGACAGUUGUCCUACUACCAAUGGGACAUCAAGCCACUAGCAGUGAGACAUGAAGCCAAGGCUGGACUGGGGCAGAGGUGACUUGAAGCUGAAUCCUUAGGUAACAAUCUACAAGUCUUUCAAUCUCUUUUGCUAGUAACGUGUCUUUAGAGAAGGGGUAGAUAUGGGCAUAGGUCUUUUUGGAAUUAGAAGGCAUUAUAGAAUUCCUAAGUGUCAUGUGUGGGGCAGUGCCAAAUCAGUGGAUUAGUUAAGUUAGACAAACCCUUCAGCUGAGGACUGGAAAAGAUGAACAACAACAACAACAGAAGGGAGUAGUCUGAAGGCAUUGGAAUGCUAACACCGUAGUACAGAAUUUCUAGUAGAAGAUUAAAAUCCAGAGAUGUAGCACUGGUAAUCACCCUCAAUUUAGGUUGGUAUUUUCAAAGACUGCCCCUUAGAAUAUAGGUGAACUAGAAAUAAAAGAACCCUCUAACAACUUCA